rnacentral:rRNA from 1 species
UUAAGCUAUGAAGGCAUACAGCGGAUGCCUUGGCACUAGAAGACGAUGAAAGACGUGACUACCUGCGAUAAGCAAAGGGGAGCUGGAAGUGAGCUUUGAUCCUUUGAUUUCUGAAUGGGGCAACCCAGCACGUGUUAUAACGUGUUACCCUUGGGCUUUCGUCCAAGAGGAGUAAUACCUAGGGAAUUGAAACAUCUUAGUACCUAGAGGAAAAGAGAGAAAAUAUUCUAUUCCCCAAGUAGCGGCGAGCGAACGGGGAUCAGCCCAAACCAUCUUAGGAUGGGGUGUGGGCCGCGAUGUAGCAAGAUACGAUUGAUUCGAAUGACUUGGGAAGGUCAACCACAGAAGGUGAUAGUCCUGUAGGAAUAGAGUCGUUGAAGCUUAGCGGUACCCCAAGUACGUCGGGUCAAAUGAUAUCCUGACGGAAGACACGAGGACCAUCUCGUAAGGCUAAAUACUAACUAGUGACCGAUAGUGAACCAGUACCGUGAGGGAAAGGUGAAAAGAACCCCGGGAGGGGAGUGAAAAGACUCUGAAACUGUAUGCUUACAAUAAGUUAGAGGGCGUUAAAGCCUGAUAACGUGCCUAUUGAAGAAUGAGCCGGCGAGUUACGCAUGCCUGCGAGGUUAAACUGAAGAAGUGGAGCCGUAGCGAAAGCAAGCCUGAACAGGGCGUUUAGUAUGCGUGUGUAAACCCGAAGCCCGACGAUCUACCCUUGAGCAGGUUGAAAGAUGGGUAAUACCAUCCGGAGGACCGAACCGACGUUCGUUGAAAAGACCGCGGAUGACUUGAGGGUAGGGGAGAAAUUCCAAUCGAGUUGGGGGAUAGCUGGUUCUCCCCGAAAUAGCUUUUCGGCUAGCCUCUGUGACUGUCUAUUGGAGGUAGAGCACUGAUUGUAUGAUGGCCGUCUCUGACGGUACUGAAUAUAGCCAAACUCCGAAUUCCAAUAGAUGUAUCCAGGGAGUCAGACUGUGAGCGAUAAGGUCCAUGGUCAAAAGGGAAACAGCCCAGACCGUCGAAUAAGGUCCCUAAAUUAAUGUUAAGUGUAAAAGGAAGUGGAGAUACUUAAACAACUAGGAUGUUGGCUCAGAAGCAGCCAUCAUUUAAAGAGUGCGUAACAGCUCACUAGUCGAGUGCCUCUGCACCGAUGAUUUACCGGGGCUUAAACAUUAUACCGAAUUCACGGACAAGCAAUUGUGGUAGGGGAGCGUUGUAUUUGCGGUGAAGCCAGAUCGUGAGGACUGGUGGAGCGUAUACAAGUGAGAAUGCCGGCGUCAGUAACGAUUGAGGGUGAGAAUCCCUCACACCAUUAGACUAAGGUUUCCUGGGGAAGGUUCGUCCUCCCAGGGUUAGGCGGGUCCUAAGACGAGGCCGAAAGGCGUAGCCGAUGGACAGCAGGUUGAUAUUCCUGCCCCCGCAUAUAUGCGAUGUAGUGACAGAUUAGGAUAACAGAUCCCGGUUAUUGGAUUCCGGGUCAAACUUUGUGGCAGACUGAUAGGCAAAUCCGUCAGUCAAUGUGAAGAAGUGAGUACGAGCGAACGAGAAAUCUAUUAGCGAAGUCUGUGAUGCCUGGUCUCGAGAAAAGCUGCUAGCUUAAGUAUAUGUGGCCCGUACCGAGAACGGACACACGUGGUCAAGGAGAGUAUCCUAAGGUGAGCGAGCGAACUGUUGUUAAGGAACUCUGCAAAAUAACUUCGUAACUUCGGAAGAAGAAGUGCUCACGAGAGUGAGCCGCAGUGAAGAGGCCCAAGUAACUGUUUAUCAAAAACACAGCUUUAUGCUAAGCCGCAAGGCGACGUAUAUGAGGUGAUGCCUGCCCAGUGCUGGAAGGUUAAAAGGUGGUGUUAGACUUCGGUCAAAGCAUCUAAUUGAAGCCCCAGUGAACGGCGGCCGUAACUAUAACGGUCCUAAGGUAGCGAAAUUCCUUGUCGGGUAAGUUCCGACGCGCAUGAAUGGUAUAAUAAUUUGGGCGCUGUCUCGACAGCAGACUCGGUGAAAUCUUAUUGCCUGUGAAGAUGCAGGCUACCCGCGACUAGACGGAAAGACCCCAUGGAGCUUUACUGCAACUU